rnacentral:tRNA from 1 species
AGGGAUGUAGAUCAGUGUUGGAGUGUUUGCCUAGCAUGCAUGAGACCCUGGGUUCCAUCCCCAGCACCACUA